rnacentral:rRNA from 1 species
AUGUUUCCCGAGAGAGACUGCCUUCUCUCAGGCCAGCAGUCUUAUACUUAUAGUCGACUGCUCUUUGACGAUCUGACCUCUUUCCUGGGCUCUGCUUGCUCGUCUACGCUCCGACCAAUUCAGUCAAAAUCAAAAAAACGAUGUUUCCUUGAAAAAGUCUAA